rnacentral:rRNA from 1 species
GAUGAACGCUGGCGGCGUGCCUAAUACAUGCAAGUCGAGCGAACGGACGAGAAGCUUGCUUCUCUGAUGUUAGCGGCGGACGGGUGAGUAACACGUGGAUAACCUACCUAUAAGACUGGGAUAACUUCGGGAAACCGGAGCUAAUACCGGAUAAUAUUUUGAACCGCAUGGUUCAAAAGUGAAAGACGGUCUUGCUGUCACUUAUAGAUGGAUCCGCGCUGCAUUAGCUAGUUGGUAAGGUAACGGCUUACCAAGGCAACGAUGCAUAGCCGACCUGAGAGGGUGAUCGGCCACACUGGAACUGAGACACGGUCCAGACUCCUACGGGAGGCAGCAGUAGGGAAUCUUCCGCAAUGGGCGAAAGCCUGACGGAGCAACGCCGCGUGAGUGAUGAAGGUCUUCGGAUCGUAAAACUCUGUUAUUAGGGAAGAACAUAUAUGUAAGUAACUGUGCACACCUUGACGGUACCUAAUCAGAAAGCCACGGCUAACUACGUGCCAGCAGCCGCGGCAAUACGUAGGUGGCAAGCGUUAUCCGGAAUUAUUGGGCGUAAAGCGCGCGUAGGCGGUUUUUUAAGUCUGAUGUGAAAGCCCACGGCUCAACCGUGGAGGGUCAUUGGAAACUGGAAAACUUGAGUGCAGAAGAGGAAAGUGGAAUUCCAUGUGUAGCGGUGAAAUGCGCAGAGAUAUGGAGGAACACCAGUGGCGAAGGCGACUUUCUGGUCUGUAACUGACGCUGAUGUGCGAAAGCGUGGGGAUCAAACAGGAUUAGAUACCCUGGUAGUCCACGCCGUAAACGAUGAGUGCUAAGUGUUAGGGGGUUUCCGCCCCUUAGUGCUGCAGCUAACGCAUUAAGCACUCCGCCUGGGGAGUACGACCGCAAGGUUGAAACUCAAAGGAAUUGACGGGGACCCGCACAAGCGGUGGAGCAUGUGGUUUAAUUCGAAGCAACGCGAAGAACCUUACCAAAUCUUGACAUCCUUUGACAACUCUAGAGAUAGAGCUUUCCCCUUCGGGGGACAAAGUGACAGGUGGUGCAUGGUUGUCGUCAGCUCGUGUCGUGAGAUGUUGGGUUAAGUCCCGCAACGAGCGCAACCCUUAAGCUUAGUUGCCAUCAUUAAGUUGGGCACUCUAAGUUGACUGCCGGUGACAAACCGGAGGAAGGUGGGGAUGACGUCAAAUCAUCAUGCCCCUUAUGAUUUGGGCUACACACGUGCUACAAUGGACAAUACAAAGGGCAGCGAAACCGCGAGGUCAAGCAAAUCCCAUAAAGUUGUUCUCAGUUCGGAUUGUAGUCUGCAACUCGACUACAUGAAGCUGGAAUCGCUAGUAAUCGUAGAUCAGCAUGCUACGGUGAAUACGUUCCCGGGUCU